rnacentral:lncRNA from 1 species
CGGACAAUCUCGUUUGAAGUGCCCGAUCUCGUUGCACUUGUACCACUUGACUUCCUUCUUGCUCCUACUCUUUCGAGACUUUGACCAUCCCCUUGACUUACCUCUUUCCCUUCCUCUUCCAGAUCUCUCAUCCAUGGCCAAGCUCUCCUGAGGAGCACCUUCCUUGGUCAACUUCUCCUGCUGUUCAUUGGACCAUAGCACCGAGACCAUAUCUUCAUACUUCAGGGUCUCCUUGCCGUAGAGCAGCAUUGUCACCAAUGGAUCAUAGGAAGGGGACAGCAAGUAUAGUGGUAGCAAUGACUUAUCUUCCUCCUCCAUCUUCAUCCUGAUGUUCAGCAAAUCAUUGCACAUCUGGUUGAAUUUCUAG